GACGAACGCUGGCGGCGUGCUUAAUACAUGCAAGUCGAGCGGUGAACCCGACUGAAAGCCUUCGGGCUUGACGUUGGGGGAUCAGCGGCGGAUGGGUGAGUAACGCGUGGGUACCUGCCCUAAAGUCUGGGAUAACAACUCGAAAGGGUUGCUAAUACCGGAUGUGACCGAGAGGUUAAAGGCAGAGAUGUCGCUUUAGGAUGGGCCCGCGUCCCAUUAGCUAGUUGGUGAGGUAAGGGCUCACCAAGGCUGCGAUGGGUAGCCGGCCUGAGAGGGUGGACGGCCACACUGGGACUGAGACACGGCCCAGACUCCUACGGGAGGCAGCAGUAGGGAAUUUUCCGCAAUGGACGGAAGUCUGACGGAGCGACGCCGCGUGGGGGAAGAAGGCCUUCGGGUUGUAAACCUCUGUCUUCAGGGACGAAGAGGGUGUGGGAGACACACCGAAGCCGGUACCUGAGGAGGAAGCCCCGGCUAACUACGUG
rnacentral:rRNA from 1 species